CUUAAAAUCAUCUUUAGAAGCUCUGCUCCAACUCAACACUGGGUGUAUUUCAGGUCUCUGAAUAAAGCUCACCACUUCCAUUCUGGGUUAUUCUCCUAGAUACAUAAUUUACUAGGAUAUUUUACAUUUUAAAAGAAACCUCAGAAUAAGCUUCUUAUUGCCCUUCAAGGAUUGCCAGCGCUACCCGUCAGGAAACCCUGACCUUAAAAUCAUGAAUGUAAAGUAAUAUAUGUGUAUGUAUAUAUAUAUAUAUGUAUGUAUUUUUUAUGUAUAUAUUUUUAUGUAUAUAUUUAUAGAUUUAUUUCCUAUGAGCUUGUCCAGGUGUGUUUUUCCCCCUUGGCACUUCAGGUGGGUUAGCUGCCUUGUGUUCAUGAUUCCUUGUCCAUGUCCCUCCCAGCGAGAGAAAGAAACAACAGAAUGAAAUGGUGUGGUCCUCCUGAACUGGAGCUGAAAGCUGACCUGUGAUGGGCCAUCCAGCCCUUUAAAUAAAGCCAUGGGAAAACACUUCUGGUCUGGAGUCAGGCCUGGAUUAGAAGUUACAGGUUGUUACUCUCUUUUUUAAACCAUGCCUAGGGUUGGGUAGGGGUCAGCAACGAGCAGAGGCAAGGGUAGUAGAUUGUCUGACUUUUUGGUUGCCUUGCAAGUGCAAGGUUAUGAUGCAGUGUUCCUGUUCCUGCUGAAAUGUUGUUGGCAGUCUCAGAGAACAAGGAGCCCAGGGGGACAGCCAGGUGGGCAGGCAGAGUCACUUCUGGGAACGGCUUUCACCUGGUCUCAUUUUGGCCAGGUGCUGCCUGUUUUCUCCGGCGUGCCCUUUUUUGCUGCAGCAGGAGGUUGGCUGAGAGUAAUUUUGAAGAAAGGUAUUGUGGAGGUAGAAGCAUUUUUUUUCCCUUUGCAACGUUACAAAAUUUUAUAUUUACCUUUACAAGAUCUGUUUCAGAAGAGAUGGAGCUAUCUGCAAAGAUUUUCGUUUAUGCGAUGUGUUCGUUGUGGUGCAGUGCUGUGGGAGGUUUUGUGCAUGCCUGCAGGGAACACAAAAAGCCAGGUUGAGCCUCCUGGCCUCCGCAGCAGUGCAGGGGAUGUCAGCAG
rnacentral:lncRNA from 1 species